CAUGGCCCAAACUCCUACAGAAGGCAGCCGUGGGGAAUUUUCCCGCCAUGGGCGAAAGCCUGAUGGAGCAACGGAGCAAUACAUUGAAAAACAAAACUCGGACGACCAGACUCUGUUCUCGUGAGCAGCUGGAUGGAUCGAUGCCGAUGUCUUGCACUAAAAGUACCGGCAAACUU
rnacentral:rRNA from 15 species